UGGGGGGAUAGCACAAGGGCUUAAGGCAUUGGUUUGCUAAAUCGACAUACAAGAAGAUUGCAUCAUGCAUGGGUUCGAAUCCCAUUUCUUCCAG
rnacentral:tRNA from 2 species